AAAGGCAUCUUUUCAUUCAUAUUAUUUAUGUGUCUAUAAAUCGUCCAAGGAAUUAAUAAGAUGAUGAUACAUAUUCUCAAGAGUUGAGAAUUUGAGCCAUGUAUCAUUGGUGAUUAAUUUCUAAAUGCUCCUGAUCAAAGGAUCAUCACGAGGACGGUGAUCGAUCCGAUCAGUGCACAGAUCACUCUCCUUCUGGAUGGACGAGACUUGAGUCCACAGUGUAGGGACACUGAAGUGAUAGUGCAGGUGCUUGUUAGAGAACAAGGGUACUGAGCGUGACCAAGACAAGAAGUCACUUGGAUGUCUAUCCACUCGUCAGUGACUUGCUUGAUGUUGCAGUAGUGUGACUAGUCCUUUGACCUGCGGUGCUUCGGCUACUCACAGUGAGGUUAUUGUAGUUUGACUGCACACAUACAUGGUCUCUAGCCAUAUGGGUCCAUGCAGUAAAUUGGCUGCAGUAAGUUCACUGUAGGAGUAGGGUAUGCACCUAUAAGGAAUCUAUCGACCUUGAUAGAAGAGGAGUGAUCCUAUGUGAUUUGUUAGACUGAGUUCUAAGACCUUGGCCAGGG
rnacentral:lncRNA from 1 species